rnacentral:rRNA from 1 species
GACGAACGCUGGCGGCGUGCUUAACACAUGCAAGUCGAACGAAGAGCGACGGAAGCUUGCUUCUAUCAAUCUUAGUGGCGAACGGGUGAGUAACGCGUAAUCAACCUGCCCUUCAGAGGGGGACAACAGUUGGAAACGACUGCUAAUACCGCAUACGAUCUAACCUCGGCAUCGAGGAUAGAUGAAAGGUGGCCUCUACAUGUAAGCUAUCACUGAAGGAGGGGAUUGCGUCUGAUUAGCUAGUUGGAGGGGUAACGGCCCACCAAGGCGAUGAUCAGUAGCCGGACUGAGAGGAUGGACGGCCGCAUUGGGACUGAGACACGGCCCAGACGCCUACGGGAGGCAGCAGGGGGGAAUCUUCCGCAAGGGACGAAAGACUGACGGAGCAACGCCGCGGGAGUGAUGACGGCCGUCGGGUUGUAGAGCUCUGUUAAUCGGGACGAAAGGCCUUCUUGCGAAUAGUGAGAAGGAUUGACGGUACCGGAAAAGAAAGCCACGGCUAACUACGUG